rnacentral:lncRNA from 1 species
GAAAAAAGGAGAGUCCUUGGAUAUUUUUGGAGAGUUUUAUCACCUCCAACCAUUUGGUUUCAAGGGUUUUAAAACAUGGAGUGAAAGUUAUACACACUUGCAAGAGGAUGAAAGUCCAGAUUCUCCCAUCACCAGCCUCUCUCAUAGGCAGAGGUGGCCAUGUGACCCAGUUUCGGCUAACGAGAUGUAAGGUGGACUCUACUCAGGGUCUUCCAGGAAAGAUAUUUUCCUUUCUAAUUGUGGUGAAGACUGCCAGUCACCUUGAGAAAGGAAGCUGUGACUAGUAGAAUGACAAGAGAGAUGGAGGCUUGUUUUCUGAAGGGAUCACAGACAGGCCCUAAAAGAAUUCUCUGAUCUUCCUCUAAAGCAGUUCUUAAGACCCUCAUGUGAGAAGUGCCUACCCCAUACUCAGAGGAAAGGAAUAUGCUUAACUUUGGAACCACAGGAACACAGAGAAGAAUCUGAACAAACUGGCUUGUCUAAUCAAAUAUCUCUACAACUAUCCACUUCUUCAUCAAACUUGGCAUA